CUCCUAGGGGGGGAUCACUUCGGCUCGUGCGUCGA
rnacentral:rRNA from 1 species